UAAUAUUAAAGUUUUAUAAAGAUUGAGCAUAGCCAUCCAAGACAUUGCCUUACUACAUCUUGAAACAAAACCAAGAAGUCUGCUUGCCUUAUUACUAACAUAAUUCAAAUGAGAAUGACAUGAUAACUUAUUGUUAAUAUAAACACCAAGUAGUUUAAAUUCAUGGACUCUUUCAGUUGUUUCAAAAUUUAUACUAUAGUCCCAUGUAAGAGGCUCUUUACACCUAGAUAAACUCAUAGUUGCACAUUUAGAUGCAUUUAGCGGCAGUUUGUUAACAAUAGACCAUUCAACAAUCC